rnacentral:siRNA from 1 species
AAUUGGUUAUUGUUUUGAUUGCGC